ACCCUGAUCCAGCCAUGCCGCGUGAGUGAUGAAGGCCUUAGGGUCGUAAAGCUCUUUCGCCUGUGAAGAUAAUGACGGUAGCAGGUAAAGAAACCCCGGCUAACUCCGUGCCAGCAGCCGCGGUAAUACGGAGGGGGUUAGCGUUGUUCGGAAUUACUGGGCGUAAAGCGCACGUAGGCGGACCAGAAAGUUGGGGGUGAAAUCCCGGGGCUCAACCCCGGAACUGCCUCCAAAACUAUUGGUCUAGAGUUCGAGAGAGGUGAGUGGAAUUCCAAGUGUAGAGGUGAAAUUCGUAGAUAUUUGGAGGAACACCAGUGGCGAAGGCGGCUCACUGGCUCGAUACUGACGCUGAGGUGCGAAAGUGUGGGGAGCAAACAGGAUUAGAUACCCUGGUAGUCCACACCGUAAACGAUGAAUGCCAGUCGUCGGGUAGCAUGCUAUUCGGUGACACACCUAACGGAUUAAGCAUUCCGCCUGG
rnacentral:rRNA from 1 species